GAGCCUAAGCAGCCGGUGAUGGCGGCAGCGGCUGUGGUGGCUGCGGCGGGUCCGGGCCCAUGAGGCGACGAAGGAGGCGGGACGGCUUUUACCCAGCCCCGGACUUCCGAGACAGGGAAGCUGAGGACAUGGCAGGAGUGUUCGACAUAGACCUGGACCAGCCAGAGGACGCGGGCUCUGAGGAUGAGCUGGAGGAGGGGGGUCAGUUAAAUGAAAGCAUGGACCAUGGGGGAGUUGGACCAUAUGAACUUGGCAUGGAACAUUGUGAGAAAUUUGAAAUCUCAGAAACUAGUGUGAACAGAGGGCCAGAAAAAAUCAGACCAGAAUGUUUUGAGCUACUUCGGGUACUUGGUAAAGGGGGCUAUGGAAAGGCUGGAGUGCAGUGGCACGAUCUCAGCUCACUGCAACCUCUGCCUUCCAGAUUCAAGCGA
rnacentral:sRNA from 1 species